GACGAACGCUGGCGGCGUGCCUAACACAUGCAAGUCGAGCGAAUGAAGUUCCUUCGGGAACGGAUUUAGCGGCGGACGGGUGAGUAACACGUGGUCAACCUGCCUCAUAGAGGGGAAUAGCCUUCCGGAAGGGAGAUUAAUAACGCAUAAGGUUGUAGUACCGCAUGGUACAGCAAUUAUAGUAGCAAUUCGCUAUGAGAUGGGCCCGCGGCGCAUUAGCUAGUUGGUGAGGUAACGGCUCACCAAGGCGACGAUGCGUAGCCCACCGGAGAGGGUGAGCGGCAACAUUGGGACUGAGACACGGCCCAGACUCCUACGGGAGGCAGCAGUGGGGAAUAUUGCAAAAUGGGGGAAACCCUGAUGCAGCAACGCCGCGUGAGUGAUGACGGCCUUCGGGUUGUAAAGCUCUGUCUUCAGGGACGAUAAUGACGGUACCUGAGGAGGAAGCCACGGCUAACUACGUGCCAGCCGCCGCCGUAA
rnacentral:rRNA from 1 species